AGGGCAAGAGGGGACUCUACGGGAGGCAGCAGUGGGGAAUAUUGCACAAUGGGCGCAAGCCUGAUGCAGCCAUGCCGCGUGUAUGAAAAAGGCUUCGGGUUGUAAAGUACUUUCAGCGGGAGGAGGUUGUGUGGUAUAUGAGGGAA
rnacentral:rRNA from 1 species